GCAUGUUGUUAGGUUUAGCUGAGUUUACCCCGGCACGAAAGGAAAGGCCGGAAAUGAAGCCCCACCUUGUUGGGAUUUCGUCUUUGUUUCUAUGGAAGUUCUUUGGAGUUUGGAAUCUCUCUGUUUUAUUUGCAUGAAGCGGGCAAUUGUGCUUAGAAGAGGGUUUUUGUCGUUGAUGGGUUCCCUGUAAAUUGCUUUGUUUCUUGCUUCUUUUAUCCUUUCCGCGUGCGAUAUCAGAAUGUUAAACUCUCGUCUCUGUAUAGAGGUGUGCUGCUUCAUUUUCUCGACUGGCCUAAUGCUUCUUCGUUCAUGGCUUUUGGGUUUUGCCUAGUAGCUUUGAGUGGGCUUUCUGAGAGGUAGAUUGAAUGCGGCAAUUUAGAUGGAUGGUCUUGAACUGGAUAUCAAGGAGAAUGCAGAAUGUUUUGCUGGUCUUUUAGAACAAGAAGGUAAGGGAGGUGGGGAUUCUGAAAAAGGACCAUGAAACCUUGAAGGAGCAGAUUGAGAAGCUGGAGAUGAUGAUGAGGAUUGGGUAGGCUUUCCUUGGCUGCGGCAUCAGCAGAUCAGUCAGCUGCAAGUGUGUGGUCCAAGCAAGAAUAAAGGAGAUCACUGCUAAGGUGCUGGACUAUCAUUUGCAACAGUGGCAGUGUUUGGUUGGACCUUUGGACAGGAAUCCACCAUUUGUUUCAACUCUACCGAUUAGAUACCAUGGCUACGCAUGUCAACUUCUUGGAGUGGUUGACCAACGUUUUCUUUACGAUGGCUAAAGCUCCGACAUCACGAAAACAAGAAAAGACCGCGAUUACUUUAGACGAACCGUGUCCAUUGGUCCAACAAUCAAUACACGUCCGAAGACCUUGACUUGUUGACUUCCGGAGCGCGCGCCCGACAAAGACCUUGACUUCUGGAAUUUAUUUAACUUCCAUAGGUAAGCUGGUUCAAGUUCUAUUAAAAAAUUCAUUA